rnacentral:rRNA from 1 species
AUUGAACGCUGGCGGCAUGCCUUACACAUGCAAGUCGAACGGCAGCACGGGCUUCGGUCUGGUGGCGAGUGGCGAACGGGUGAGUAAUGUAUCGGAACGUACCUUAGAGUGGGGGAUAACGUAGCGAAAGUUACGCUAAUACCGCCUAUUCUGUGCGCAGGAAAGCAGGGGAUCGCAAGACCUUGUGCUCUUUGAGCGGCCGAUAUCAGAUUAGCUAGUUGGUGAGGUAAAAGCUCACCAAGGCGACGAUCUGUAGCGGGUCUGAGAGGAUGAUCCGCCACACUGGAACUGAGACACGGUCCAGACUCCUACGGGAGGCAGCAGUGGGGAAUUUUGGACAAUGGGGGCAACCCUGAUCCAGCCAUGCCGCGUGAGUGAAGAAGGCCUUCGGGUUGUAAAGCUCUUUCAGCCGGGAAGAAAUCGCAUAGGUUAAUACCCUGUGCGGAUGACGGUACCGGAAUAAGAAGCACCGGCUAACUACGUGCCAGCCGCCGCGGUAAAAC